rnacentral:siRNA from 1 species
GUUAGAUGGUGUCAAGAAGCUGC